GUCGGGAGCUAAGGUGAGGCCUAACGGCGUAGCCGAUGCACAGACGGUAGAGAUUCCGUCACCACCAAAAGAGUUAAACACAGGGACACAUAUGAGGUCUCGGAGCCGGGUGUUGGUUCCGGUAGCGAUCGAGGGAAGUUAGUACCGAAGUCCGGGAUGGAAGAUGGCGAGAAAAGCUGUGUGGAUUUCUGCGGUGCCCGUACCGCAAACCGACACAGGUAGGUAGGAAGAAGAUUCUAAGGCCAACGGGAGAAGGGUUGUUAAGGAACUCGGCAAAUUGACCCCGUAACUUCGGGAGAAGGGGUGCUGCAGCAAUGCAGCCGCAGAGAAUCGGCCCAAGCAACUGUUUACCAAAAACACAGGUUUGUGCUAAAUCGAAAGAUGACGUAUACGAGCUGACGCCCGCCCGGUGCUGGAAGGUUAAGAGGAGAUGUGCAAGCAUUGAAUCGAAGCCCCAGUGAACGGCGGCCGUAACUAUAACGGUCCUAAGGUAGCGAAAUUCCUUGUCAGGUAAGUUCUGACCCGCAUGAAAGGCGUAAUGAUUUGGGCACUGUCUCAACAGCCCGCCCGGCGAAAUUGUAGUACCGGUGAAGAUGCCGGUUACCCGCGACAAGACGGAAAGACCCCAUGGAGCUUUACUGUAGCCUAAUAUUGGGUUUCGAUGUUGUAUGCACAGGAUAGAUGGGACACAGGGAAGCAGGUGCUUUGGCGCUUGUGGAGUGGCCGUUGGGAUACCAUCCUUGCGAUAUUGGAAUUCUAACCUGCGCCUUUGAAUCAAGGCGGGGGACAUUGUUAGGUGGGCAGUUUGACUGGGGCGGUCGCCUCCUAAAGAGUAACGGAGGCGUUCAAAGGUUCGCUCAGCUUGAACAGAAAUCAAGCAAAAGAGUGCAAGCGCAGAAGCGAGCCUAACUGCGAGACUGACGGGUCGAGCAGUAACGAAAGUUGGAGUUAGUGGUCCGGUGGUAUGUGAGUGGAAAUGCCAUCGCUCAACGGAUAAAAGUUACCCUGGGGAUAACAGGCUGAUCUCCCCCAAGAGUCCACAUCGACGGGGAGGUUUGGCACCUCGAUGUCGGCUCAUCGCAUCCUGGGGCUGUAUUCGGUCCCAAGGGUUUGGCUGUUCGCCAAUUAAAGCGGUACGCGAGCUGGGUUCAGAACGUCGUGAGACAGUUCGGUCCCUAUCUGUCGUGGGCGCAGGAUAUUUGAUGGGAGCUGUUCCUAGUACGGGAGGACCGGAGCGGACGUACCUCUGGCGCACCAGUUGUUCUGCCAAGAGCAUAGCUGGGCAACUAUGUACGGAUCGGAUAAACGCUGAAAGCAUCUAAGCGUGAAGCCGACCCAAAGAUAAGAUAUCCCAUUGUUUUAAACAAGUAAGACCCCUUGAAGACUACAAGGUUGAUAGGCACGAUGUGUAAGUGGAGCGAUCCAUUCAGCAAGCGUGUACUAAUAGGUCGAGGGCUUGAC
rnacentral:rRNA from 1 species